rnacentral:rRNA from 1 species
CCUACGGGAGGCAGCAGUGGGGAAUAUUGCGCAAUGGGCGAAAGCCUGACGCAGCGACGCCGCGUGAGGGACGAAGGUCUUCGGGUUGUAAACCUCUUUCAGCAGGGACGAAGCGAAAGUGACUGUACCUGCAGAAGAAGCACCGGCUAACUACGUGCCAGCAGCCGCGGUAAUACGUAGGGUGCAAGCGUUGUCCGGAUUUAUUGGGCGUAAAGAGCUCGUAGGCGGUUUGUCGCGUCGGAUGUGAAAACCCAAUGGCUUAACCUUGGGCCUGCAUUCGAUACGGGCAAACUAGAGUGUGGUAGGGGAGACUGGAACUCCUGGUGUAGCGGUGGAAUGCGCAGAUAUCAGGAAGAACACCGAUGGCGAGGGCAGGUCUCUGGGCCAUAACUGACGCUGAGGAGCGAAAGCGUGGGGAGCGAACAGGAUUAGAUACCCUGGUAGUCCACGCCGUAAACGGUGGGCGCUAGGUGUGGGGAUUGUUUCCACGAUCUCCGUGCCGUAGCUAACGCAUUAAGCGCCCCGCCUGGGGAGUACGGCCGCAAGGCUAAAACUCAAAUGAAUUGACGG